UACGGAGGGUGCAAGCGUUAUCCGGAUUCACUGGGUUUAAAGGGUGCGUAGGUGGGCAGGUAAGUCCGCGGUGAAAUCCCCGAGCUUAACUUGGGAACUGCCGUUGAUACUAUCUGUCUUGAAUAUCGUGGAGGUAAGCGGAAUAUGUCAUGUAGCGAUGAAAUGCUUAGAGAUGACAUAGAACACCAAUUGCGAAGGCAGCUUGCUACACGAUAAUUGACACUGAGGCACGAAAGCGUGGGGAGCAAACAGG
rnacentral:rRNA from 1 species